UGACUAUGAUCUCGGAGAAGAAUGUAACUAGAACUUCCAUAGGACUGCAGAAGUCUAUCCUCUAUAUUGUAGUCGGUUGUCAAAAGCCUUACUCAUGGUUGUUUGAUUUUAAAAAAAAGAAGAAAGAAAAGAGAAAAUGUAACGGCCCUGGAAAUUUAAAUGAAAUGUAUGUAUUAGAAAUCUCAAAUGCGGAAGCGUAAUAAAAAUUUUGAUUAACAUCCCUUACACAAUAACCAAAACGUACUCAAAACAUGAAGGAACAAACUAACUAAAAGAGAUACUCGAAAUAAGAACUAUAAAUAAAACUAUGAAGUCUUUAGGCAUCCCCUUCGCCGUUUUCCUGUGGAAUGGGAUCGGGAACAACGUUUUCCUAAUCUGAAAUGGUUAAA
rnacentral:lncRNA from 1 species